rnacentral:RNase_P_RNA from 1 species
AUGGUCGGAGGGUCCGUCGCUCGUCCGUUAUCUAAGGGACGGGAGGAAAGUCCGGGCAACACAGAGCACCAUAUUUCCUAACGGGAAGCUAUCGGCAACGGUAGAGAAGUGUGACAGAAAACAACCGCCGCUUUGCGGUAAGGGUGAAAAGGCGAGGCAAGAGCUCACCGGGCGCGACGGCGACAUCGCGUGCCGCACACCUUAUGGGUUGCAAAGCCAAGUAUACCGGCAUCCAAGGGCUGCUCGUCCAUUGCCGGGGGGUAGGCUGCGUCAGAUAAAUGACGGACGGCGCGGAGCAACUCUCAUUCGAGAAAGUGACUGCGCCACAUAACCCGGCUUAUACUCCGACCAUGCUU